rnacentral:rRNA from 1 species
ACGGGAGGCAGCAGUGGGGAAUAUUGGGCAAUGGGCGAAAGCCUGACCCAGCGACGCCGCGUGAGGGAAGAAGGUCUUCGGAUUGUAAACCUCUUUCAGCAGGGAAGAAGCAAGUGACGGUACCUGCAGAAGAAGUCACGGCUAACUACGUGCCAGCAGCCGCGGUAAUACGUAGGUGGCGAGCGUUAUCCGGAAUUACUGGGUGUAAAGGGUGUGUAGGCGGAGAAGCAAGUCAGGCGUGAAAUACACGGGCUCAACCCGUGAACUGCGCUUGAAACUGUUUCCCUUGAGAGUGGGAGAGGUAAACGGAAUUCCUGGUGUAGUAGUGAAAUGCGUAGAUAUCAGGAGGAACACCGGUGGCGAAGGCGGUUUACUGGACCACAACUGACGCUGAGACACGAAAGCGUGGGGAGCAAACAGGAUUAGAUACCCUGGUA